GAGUGCGGAGCGGAGCCGAGGAUUCCCCCGCGGUCCCCCUUCUCUCUUAUGGCUGAAGGCUGCGUUGCCCCUCGCCUCGCCUCCUCUCCACCCGGCCUUGUCCCAGACGUGGCACCGCAACGCACGGGGCUCCCACCGGUGCCCCCCCCGCCGGGGUCCGCUUCCCUCAGCGCUGCCGUCGUGCUGCCGCAAUAGCACCGAACCGGAGCUCGUCGCUGCCCGGCUUUGCUCCGCACCCAGGAUCUGUCCCCUCCGCUUUGGCCUUUUAACCCUUUCCUUUCAAACGCAGCCGGCGGCUCUCGGCCUCCCCCGGCCGUGGGCUGAUGGGGUCGCGCCCCCCCCCCCCCCCCCGUGUCCCCGUCCCCGUUUGGACUCCCUACUUUGUUGUGUUGCGGAACGGUGUUUAUUUUUCCCUCUCCCCUCUGAUGGAUUUCGCCAUUACUACGAAGGGCCCGGCGGAAAUUAGCGGUUGUCCUUAAUUAGCGAGCCCGGCCCGUAGGAAAUAGGCACAGCCGGGGCAGCUCUGAGCGGACCACUCCCGAUAGCUCUCCCGCUGCCCCAUCCAAGGGCGCUGCUGUACCUCCUCACAGGGCCCCGCUGAGCGGUGCGACGGGAGUUUGGAGAACCUCCUGACCCCGAGCCGCAGCCCCUCUCCUGCUGGGACAGCAUUAACCGGGAGGACCACGCUCGAAAUCCAAAGGGCCGUCCGUCCCCUCCCCUCUCCCGCCUUUAAUCACCCUUUGCAAUUAGCGCCUGUUGCGGGAUCCCCGCGCCCAGCGCUCCCCCAGCGGUUCGGUGGGGGCUGCAGUACCGCUCCCCUCCGCGGCCGGCAGCGCCGAACCGCCCCCGUCCUUCUGUCCGUCCGUCCAUCCGUCCGUCCGUCCGCCCCCCCCGGGGGGCAGCCGCGGCCGUGCGGGGUUCGGGCGCUGCGGGAGCGGCUUUAUAGCGGCGCUGGGCACGGAGCGGCCCGGCCUGACGUCAGGAGAACCCGAUCCGGCCCGCUCCGCUCCUGCGUCUGAAACUGAUCCUUGAAAUGAGAGAACAGACUCUACACAAUUCCCAUGGCCUUGACAUAAGGGCCGCACCGACGGAUGAUGGACCGAGGCUGUCCCCGGGACGCCAAAAUAAUGAGGGGUGGCCGCGGUACAGACGGUCGGGACGCACAGGGGCUCUCGGAGAAGCGGUCCGCACUGUUACAUCAUUUUAGAAGCCCGGCCACGCACCGGGAGCGGGAUGGGGAGCGCCGGUCUCUGCCUCCCGCACACCUCCAAUACCUCCAACAGCCCUUCGGCACCUGCGGGAAAUCCGCCCGGAACCCCACGGGGGGAGACGCGGCCGCUGUCAGCCCCACUCGAGACGCCUUUGUCAGAGCGGGGUAUCAGCAGUGGCUCAGCCAACCCCGGGCAGCCCCAGCGCUCGGAUUCACCCUUAUCAUCAUUAUCAUUAUCACUAUCUUUA